rnacentral:lncRNA from 1 species
CUGACUUUAAUUCCAGUUGCAGUGUGUGUGGCAGAAUGUGGCCCGUGAGUCAGAGGUUCUGAGUUCCGGUUGUGACUUGGCCACUCAAUUCGUGACCUGGAAUAAGUCAUACACUUCGUUGAACUACAGUUUCCUUAAAAGUCAGUAGACAGUUUAAAAAGUCAUCAGAUAAUGUUUAGGACCAUUUCCACCUCCAGGAAUUGGAUACUCAUUCUGGGCUUUGGAUAUUUUAACCAUUUUUACAAAAAGGUAUGAGGUAUACAGUUUUAUUGCAUAAAGUCUUUGAAGAAUUAUCUAAGUAAAACCAUUUCCCUUGAAAGCAUAUUGAGGAAAUUUGAAUAAGGCUGGAAAUAUUUUCAUAAUCUUGUGCUUGCGUAGGAAACACACUAAGUCCUUUUGUGCGGAACUUAACAUCUGUGGCAGCUAGAUUCCCUCACUAGCUUACCCGCUCCCCACCCUCUUCGUGGAAUUGUUGUAACCAUAGAAAGUAAAUCCAGGUACAAAGCACUGGCUCCGCCUUCAAGCACCUUUGGGAAGUGGUUUCAUCUCCAGUGCCUCAGUGCUCCCGUGAUUGAGUAAAGGGAGAAAGGAGUCAUCCCCAGCUCACAGAACAGUCCUGCGGCCCGGGGAGGCAGUGCCUGCAGACAGCCUGGAGACCCCGGAACCUGCUCGGCCCUCCCCUCCUGCUAGCUUUCUGCAGUUCCCCAUCCCCCAUUCUGCCUUCUCUCAAGUGAUACCAGCUGAACCAGAAGCCAAUGGCAGCUUGAAACAGCAGCUUGCUCCUGUAUCUGAGGAUUCUGUGGUCCCGAAUCAGCACGUGUCACAGAUGUUUGGAGGAGACCGAGAGUGUGCUGUCGGCACGCAUCGUCCGUGAAGCAAUGGGGCAGAGUUCAUCCCUUACUUCAACCUAUGCAUCGCUGUUUUGUGCAUCGUCAUAAAAACAACACAUUCCAAAUGCACUGUCAUGGGCUUGGAAGGAAAAUAAUAAAGAAAACAAA